rnacentral:rRNA from 1 species
AACGAACGCUGGCGGCAUGCCUAACACAUGCAAGUCGAACGAGACCUUCGGGUCUAGGGUCGCACGGGGGCGUAACGCGUGGGAACCUGCCCUUAGGUUCGGAAUAACUCCCCGAAAGGGGUGAUAAUAGCGGAUAAUGUCUUCGGACCGAAAAUUUAUUGCAUUUGGAUGGUCACGCGUGGCAUUAGCUAUUUGGUAGGGUAAAAGCUUCCCAAGGCGACGAUCAACAGCUGGUCUGAGAGGAUGAUCAGCGACACUGGGACUGAGAAGCGGCCCAGACUCCUACGCGAGGCAGCAGUGGCGGAUAGUGGAACGUCGGCUAAAGCAUGAUCGAGUACUGCCGGUUGAGUGAUGUAGUCCUGAGGGUUGAAAAGCUCUUUUACCCGUGAUCAUCAUGACAGUACCGGGAGAAUAAGCCCCGGCUAACUCCGUG